GAUGAACGCUGGCGGCGUGCCUAAUACAUGCAAGUCGAGCGAACAGACGAGGAGCUUGCUCCUCUGACGUUAGCGGCGGACGGGUGAGUAACACGUGGAUAACCUACCUAUAAGACUGGGAUAACUUCGGGAAACCGGAGCUAAUACCGGAUAACAUGUUGAACCGCAUGGUUCAACAGUGAAAGACGGUCUUGCUGUCACUUAUAGAUGGAUCCGCGCCGCAUUAGCUAGUUGGUAAGGUAACGGCUUACCAAGGCAACGAUGCGUAGCCGACCUGAGAGGGUGAUCGGCCACACUGGAACUGAGACACGGUCCAGACUCCUACGGGAAGCAGCAGUAGGGAAUCUUCCGCAAUGGGCGAAAGCCUGACGGAGCAACGCCGCGUGAGUGAAGAAGGUCUUCGGAUCGUAAAACUCUGUUACUAGGGAAGAACAAAUGUGUAAGUAACUAUGCACGUCUUGACGGUACCUAAUCAGAAAGCCACGGCUAACUACGUG
rnacentral:rRNA from 1 species